rnacentral:rRNA from 1 species
UACGUAGGGUGCAAGCGUUAAUCGGAAUUACUGGGCGUAAAGCGUGCGCAGGCGGUGAUGUAAGACAGAUGUGAAAUCCCCGGGCUCAACCUGGGAACUGCAUUUGUGACUGCAUCGCUGGAGUGCGGCAGAGGGGGAUGGAAUUCCGCGUGUAGCAGUGAAAUGCGUAGAUAUCUGAAAGAACACCAGUGGCGAAGGCGGUCAACUGGCUUUUAACUGACGCUCAGGCACGAAAGCGUGGGUAGCGAACAGG